rnacentral:rRNA from 1 species
CACGUAGGGGGGCAAGCGUUGUCCGGAAUCAUUGGGCGUAAAGAGCUCGUAGGCGGCUCAGUAAGUCGGGUGUGAAACCCUCAGGCUCAACCUGGGGACGCCACCCGAUACUGCUGUGGCUAGAGUCCAGUAGGGGAGUGUGGAAUUCCCGGUGUAGCGGUGAAAUGCGCAGAUAUCGGGAGGAACACCAGCGGCGAAGGCGGCACUCUGGGCUGGUACUGACGCUGAGGAGCGAAAGCGUGGGUAGCAAACAGG